UUGUUCCAAAAUGUGGACUGUUGCGAAGGCUUUGUACUGAUUCAGAGGAGUCUGAUAGUGUUACCAUAGAGCUGAAUGACAUACCUGGAGGAGCCGAUGCGUUUGAGCUGUGUGCUAAGUUCUGCUACGGUAUCACCAUCAACCUCAGUGCUCAUAACCUUGUGGAUGCCCUCUGCGCCUCCAAGUUUCUCCGGAUGUCUGAUUCCGUUGAAAAGGGAAACCUGUUACCGAAGCUUGAAUCUUUCUUCCACUCCUGCGUUCUCCAAGGCUGGAAAGACUCCAUCGUCACUUUGCAGUCCACUGCCAAAUUGCCUGAAUGGUGUGAGAAUCUUGGAAUCAUCAGAAAGUGUAUAGAUUCGAUUGUUGAGAAGAUCCUCACUCCCACUGCACAGGUAUGUUCAUAUUUUUCACGUUUUGAGUCCAGAUGAUGUUCUUGCACAUCUAUAUGAUCUUUCUUUUUUGUUUUGCAGGUCUCUUGGUCUCAUACAUACACCAGACCAGGCUACCAAAAGAGAAAACAUCACUCUGUUCCAAGAGACUGGUGGACGGAGGACAUAUCAGACCUGGACUUGGACUUGUUCCGCUGUAUUAUCACAGCAGCCAGGUCAAGCUUCACGCUGCCGCCUCAGCUCAUUGGUGAAGCUUUGCACGUAUACACCUGUCGUUGGCUACCAUACUUCAAAUCAAAAAGCCAUUCAGGUUUCUCCGUUAAAGAAAACGAAGCAGCGCUGGAAAGGCACCGACGUGUUGUUAACACGGUUGUGAACAUGAUUCCUGCAGAUAAAGGGUCGGUUUCAGAGGGCUUCUUGCUGAGACUUGUUAGCAUAGCUAAUUAUGUGGGAGCUUCUCUGACGACAAAGACUGAGUUGAUUAGAAAAGCUGGUCUGCAACUCGAGGAGGCAACUCUUGCAGACCUCUUGUUGCCUUCCCAGUCAUCCUCUCAUCAUCAUCGAUAUGAUACUGACUUGGUUGCUGCGGUUCUUGACAGUUUUCUAAUGCUCUGGAGAAGACAGACUUCUGCGCAUGUUUCUAGUAACAGUCAGUUGCUACAUUCAAUCAGGAAGGUGGCAAAGCUUAUUGACUCCUAUCUUCAGGCAGUCUCACAAGAUGUUCAUAUGCCAGUUCCUAAUUUCGUGUCUCUUGCUGAGGCAGUGCCAGACAUCGCACGGGAGAGCCAUGACAGGCUUUACAAAGCAAUCAACAUGUAUCUCAAGGUAGUCAUGCCAGCAUACUUUGAGCAAUCAUCAAGUUUGGUACUUGGAACUAAUGGUUUUACAUUGCAGGUGCAUCCGGAGAUAAGCAAAGAAGAGAAAAAGCGACUAUGCAGAAGUCUAGACUGCCAGAAGUUGUCUGCAGAGGUACGCGCCCACGCUGUGAAAAACGAGAGGAUGCCACUGAGAACCGUCGUCCAAGCCCUCUUCUUCGACCAAGAGAGCAGUUCCAAGGGAGUAUUAAGCCAAGCAGCGAGCCAAAAAGGUGAAAGACCCACUUCUGUGUGUUCACUUUAAUUUCUGUUUGGUGAGAAUUUGUUUUCCUUGUGCAAAAGAUGUAAUGCAUGAAGGACACUUGUGUCUAGCUUUUCAGUUUUUUGGUUGUGAAUAGUUUCAUGAUUCACUUGCCCACCUCUAGGAACUAAAUUCGUUUUUUUUUCUUAACUCAAGGAGACCAGAGAGUCACAGACUCCAACUUAUAGCUACUAACUGGUAUACCUAUAUGCGUAUGUGUGCCAAUUUAUCUGGUGUUUAUUUUCAAACCAUAAUUAAGUGUGAAGGAAAAUUCAUAUCAGACACCAUUUAAAGAGUGAGUCCAUGCGGGGAGCAACAAGUGACGAGGCCGGGACCCUUGUUUACCAUUCAACUCUCUCUCUCUCUCUCUCUCUCUCUCUCUCGGCAUCUAAUCUCACUAAACACUUUUUUGACAAUUUGAUCAUUACCACUUCUCUCUUUAUUGCUUUAGCCAUCUCUUUCUCCUUCUUCCUCCUCUCACAUAUCAUCAACCUUUGAGCACACCAGUCUUGUAAAUCAAUCAUCCUUUUGCUUUAUCUUCAGAGUUGUACAUAAACUACAGGUUUGAUUUUCUCAUUUACCAAAUACUUAUGAAUCAAGUUUCGGCUUGAAUAUUUAAUUCUCUUCCUUUUUAUCCCCCUUUUGUUCACUUUCUCAUCAUAUGUUUCUCUUGAACACAGAGAAGUCUAAGAUGAAGUUCAUGAAGAUCGGUACAAAGCCUGACACUUUCUAUACUCAAGAUGGUUCAAGGUUUGUUCCUCUAUCUCUCUGCCUCCAAAUUCCACAAACACACAUCUCUUUGAUUAUAUAUAUUUACACUGCAGGAUUUUGAUAACUGACUCACCCAACGAUCUCGUUAUUAGAAUCAACAACACCAGUUACCAUCUCCACAGAGUAUGUUUUGAUUGUCUUAUACUCUUGUAGCAACAUAAACACAUGUAUCAUGUAUGUUAUUCAGUGGUUUUGAUGUUGUUUGCAGUCUUCUCUUGUUCCAAAAUGUGGACUGUUGCGAAGGCUUUGUACUGAUUCAGAGGAGUCUGAUAGUGUUACCAUAGAGCUGAAUGACAUACCUGGAGGAGCCGAUGCGUUUGAGCUGUGUGCUAAGUUCUGCUACGGUAUCACCAUCAACCUCAGUGCUCAUAACCUUGUGGAUGCCCUCUGCGCCUCCAAGUUUCUCCGGAUGUCUGAUUCCGUUGAAAAGGGAAACCUGUUACCGAAGCUUGAAUCUUUCUUCCACUCCUGCGUUCUCCAAGGCUGGAAAGACUCCAUCGUCACUUUGCAGUCCACUGCCAAAUUGCCUGAAUGGUGUGAGAAUCUUGGAAUCAUCAGAA
rnacentral:lncRNA from 1 species